CGGAUUAACAAUGGUCACUGCUGGCCCCUGAGUCGUACACGGUGAUUACUGCGUCGCUGGACCUCUGAGGGCCGC